rnacentral:lncRNA from 1 species
CUUAACAACACUAUCAACAAGGCAGGUCCUGCGGUUCAAAGUGGCACCGUCAUGGAAUGCCACCUUUCCAACAAGUCAGCGUGUCAAAUUUCUGCCCUGCUAGAUCUGCUCCCCGGUCAACUGUAAGGGCUGUUAUUGUGAAGUGGGAAUGUCUAGGAGCAACAACGGCUCAGCCAUGACGUGGUAGGCCACAGAACGGGUCCGCAGAGUGCCAUGGGUUCUAACUAGAACAGUUAACUCUACAGUCUGUAUUCUAACUAGAACAUAGAGUAGUUAACAACUGUUCUAGUUAGAAUCCAGACUGUAGAGUUAACACAUUGCCUAUACUAACUCUUAACACAGAGUGUUCCUGCCUGACUAGAUGGUCAGGUGUUAGUUAGUGUAGUGAUGUUCCUGUCUGACUAGAUGGUCAGGUGUUAGUUAGUGUAGUGAUGUUCCUGCCUGACUAGAUGGUCAGGUGUUAGUUAGUUAGUUAGUUAGUGAUGUUCCUGCCUGACUAGAUAGUCAGGUGUUAGUUAGUGUAUGUAGUGAUGUUCCUGUCUGACUAGAUGGUCAGGUGUUAGUUAGUGUAGUGAUGUUCCUGCCUGACUAGAUGGUCAGGUGUUAGUUAGUUAGUUAGUG